GAAGUAUUGUACAGUCUUCUAACUGCAGGCAGGGAGAAGUAUUGUACAGUCUUCUAACUGCAGGUAGGGAGAAGUAUUGUACAGUCUUCUAACUGCAGGCAGGGAGAAGUAUUGUACAGUCUUCUAACUGCAGGUAGGGAGUAUUGCGGUUUGGCGUUAAAGCCACGGUGUCUCAAGAUGCCCCUCUCUCUCUGCUUGUCUCCCGAAGCUCCUUGUUUUUAAACACAAAGAGUUUUCAUCGUGCUGCUUUGUCAUACUGCCCUGCCCUCGGUACAGUUCAGCACACAGAAUUACAGACUGCCAUGCGGCCAUAGGAUGUGCAGUGUGUGAUUAGCUGAAGAGAUGCUAUAUGUGGGCUCCACGCGCUCCACGCAGAGGGGAUAUUUAUAGGCCUGUGCCCACAAGAUGUGCCCCUGUGCCCACAAGAUGUCGUCAGCGUGAUGCAAGCUGUUUGUAAGUGAGUGGCGGGAUGAUUUGAUGCAUAGAAAUGGCGAAAGUGUGUAAACAAACCAACUGAUGAACAGAAACAUUGCCACAGUUCCAUUGCAAGAUCCAAUUCAACACUCAUUCAGUGUCAUGGCCAACUUUGAAGUGAAAUUACUGCUGUGAACUCCACAAAUGCCAAGUCAGCUGAGUGGUACAUUGCCAUGGCAUAUAUAACAGAGACUCUUAAUGACCUCCAUCACAGUAAUGCAGAUUACUGGUAUUAAUGCACUUCACCCAAUCAUCGUAAGUGAAUGCCUCAUUAUGGAUUAUGGAUUCUACGCAUCUGAGGAGAGAAGUGAAAUAUAAUGAAACAACUGGACUAUUUCUUUGCGAGGAAGGGAGAUUUUCCCAAAUGAAAUCUGAUGAAGCAUUCUCACUGAAACCUUCUGGUAUAAAUUCCCUCUUCCUAAGAACUGAUUGCUUCAUUAAUUGAAUUAGACAUUAAGCGACUGCUUUGGAAGGAGGGAUCAUUGCUUCCUACAGCCAUGCUAGGAACGGCUUAGGUGUUUCAAUCAAUAUAUGGGCCCAUUGAGUGCAGCUUGCUGAAGCCAUCUUUGAUACUUAAUUAUUGCCUCCCCCCCCAUUAAAUGGCCUCUAUUUAGUGAAAGAAAUGGGCGCAUCAACCAUUUGUGUUUGCUUUCCUGCGAUCAGGG
ensembl:lncRNA